ACUCCUACGGGAGGCAGCAGUGGGGAAUAUUGGACAAUGGGCGAAAGCCUGAUCCAGCAACGCCGCGUGAGGGAUGACGGCCUUCGGGUUGUAAACCUCUUUCAGCAGGGACGAAGCGCAAGUGACGGUACCUGCAGAAGAAGCACCGGCUAACUACGUGCCAGCAGCCGCGGUAAUACGUAGGGCGCAAGCGUUAUCCGGAAUUAUUGGGCGUAAAGAGCUCGUAGGCGGUUUGUCGCGUCUGCUGUGAAAGACCGGGGCUCAACUCCGGUUCUGCAGUGGGUACGGGCAGACUAGAGUGCAGUAGGGGAGACUGGAAUUCCUGGUGUAGCGGUGAAAUGCGCAGAUAUCAUGAGGAACACCGAUGGCGAAGGCAGGUCUCUGGGCUGUAACUGACGCUGAGGAGCGAAAGUGUGGGGAGCGAACAGGAUUAGAUACCCUGGUAG
rnacentral:rRNA from 1 species